rnacentral:misc_RNA from 1 species
GAUGAAGAACGCAGCGAAAUGCGAUAAGUAAUGUGAAUUGCAGAAUUCAGUGAAUCAUCGAAUCUUUGAACGCACAUUGCGCCCCCUGGUAUUCCGGGGGGCAUGCCUGUUCGAGCGUCAUUUCACCACUCAAGCCUCGCUUGGUAUUGGGCAACGCGGUCCGCCGCGUGCCUCAAAUCGACCGGCUGGGUCUUCUGUCCCCUAAGCGUUGUGGAAACUAUUCGCUAAAGGGUGCUCGGGAGGCUACGCCGUAAAACAAACCCAUUUCUAAGGUUGACCUCGGAUCAGGUAGGGAUACCCACUGAACUUAAGCAUAUCAAUAAGCGGAGGA